rnacentral:lncRNA from 1 species
AAAUAGAGUUUAAUAGAAUAAAAUCUCUUCUUUUUGCAUUUCAACCCUUGUGUUCUCCAUACUUGCACUUUUGGCAUCAACUUUUCCUUGUGUCGCACAUUGGCCCAUUUUAUUUCUAAAUUCAGGCUUUUGGCCCUUAAUUUUACUUUUGCCUCAAAUUUAGUCCCUAUAAGAUAAAAGAUCAUAAAUAGUAUAAAUUAACAGGAUCAUACUCAGAAUAAAUACAUAAUUAAGAUAUAAAAAUACAUUAUUCUAGAGUGUUAUCAAAUCUCUUACAAGAGAUGGAACCAUUAGUAUGAUGCCUGCCGAAAUAAUAUUGUAGCAUGUAAAAGGUAAAGGCGAAGUGAAGAGAACGCUAAGAGAAUCAGCCAUCAAUCUAUGGAAAUGGGCAGUUAAAGUUACUAUCGUAUCAGAAGUAUUAGUCAAAACCCGUUCACUACUGUAAGAAAAAGAGUAAGAAAGGACAGUGAGAGAAAGUAGAAAGACAUGUUGUAAAACCAAGAUAAAAUUUUUGACAUUUUGGGGGUGUGCUUUGGGAUUUCAAUAUUAUAUUACUAGUUUGUCUUUCACAUUCCUUGCCAAAAACAGUGAAAAACUCAUGAAAGUGGAGGACUUUUCAGGUCACCUUCUUCAAUCUAAGAAACUUUGUUUUUUUGGCUUUAAUUUGCUUUGCCCCCACCUUACCACCCCUUUACCUGUUCAUGGAUCCCAAAGGCUCCAAGCAGCCACCAGCUG